GCCAGGCAUGGUAGAGCAUGCCUGUAAUCCUAGCAACUCAAGAAGGAGGUUGAGGCAGGAGGAUUGAAAGUCUGAGGCCAGCAACUUAGUGAGACCCUGUCUCAA
rnacentral:sRNA from 1 species